GUAUGGUCCAGACUCUCAUAGACCGCUGUUAAUUGCUUAAAACACGAUCAGGAUAUUUGGAUAUUAUGUGCUAAAGGUGAACUAUCUCCCCCACCCUACUGUAUUCCAAUACGUAUUAAAAUAUCUAUGGUUUAGUUUUUAAUUGUGUAUUUCCUGUGUUGUUAUUCUGUUUCUAAAGUUAAAGUCUAAUUACCUAGCUCUUUAAAGGUACACAUAUGGAAUUUUCACUCUACUAAUCACACUGUUACCAAAUUCUCCAUAAACCAAUACCAUUGUAUUAUACCAGUAAUCUGUAAUUUCUGUCUUUAACUGCUUUCUUCAAUAUUGAGAUUAUAAUUGUGUACCUAGAUUUGUUGUCUGUAGCUUAUGUUGCAAUUACUGAACUUAACUGUGAUUCCCACUCAUCUAAUUGUGUAUUCUGUAUGGGUGAGGUCCAACAGCCAAACAUUUAUUCGUGUAACAUGCUCUUCAAUGCUGCUUAUAUUAAUUGGUUGCAAAAUUUGUUUCACAAUUUUAAUGUACCAAUAUAUGCUACUGCCAGAUUUUAGAUUUUACUUACAAAGUCAAAUGUCUUUUGGUUGCUUAUUGUUUUGUGCUGUGAAAAUAUUUUAUGUGUUUGUGUCUGUCUGCGUUAUUCUUCACAUUGUAUGUUAUUUCCGCUACUUGUAUUUGUACAUUUUACCCUAAUUUUUAGUUGGUCUGCUUACUUACCAUUUUACCCUUGAUUUGUUAAAGUUGAAAACAGUGUUACACUAUAAUGUCAUGUGGGACCAAAUUUCCUGUUGAAUUUUCUUGAAUAACAAUAUAUUUAUCAGCACAUAUGGAUGAAGUUAACUCCGCAAUAGUUGAACCAGGGCUUCCCAAACUUAUUGCUCAUGACCCAUUUUAAUCACUUUCAAUUUUCAAUGACCCUUUAUAGUUAAUAGUAUAAUACAUGAAGUACUGUGUGUAAAAUUGGUAAACUCUUGCUGACCCCUGAAGUUUGUUAUUUCCAGUUUGGAAAGCCCUGUUUUAUAGGUCUUUUUCGGGUACUGUCAAUGUGAGAUUAUUUUGCAGUGUUUUGUAAAUUGUUUUACAGAAAAUAUAUGACUUAAGACAAUGUAGUUGUGAAUAUGGUUAGUGACGGUCUUGCCUCAAGUCUUACAAAUUCAAUGUUGGCACAGAAACCAUGCAAGGAACCGCUGAUAUAUAUACAUGCCAUCUGGACAUCUAUACCCCUCGUUGUAUUGGACCCCGCACCGUAAAAACUUUCGGGCCUGCUUUGGCAACCAACCGAAGAGAGGGUGGUCGAAAAAUGCAAUGGUGACACCUGGAGGGAGCUCGCUUGGUUUCUGGAAGCCUGUCGUUGAGCGAUGUCAUAUUUACCAGUAAUCGCUGAUAGAAAUCCAGCAGUUAGUGAAAACGCGACAGGCACAGCAUGCAUGUGCCGUCC